CUUGAUUCAUUUUUUUCUUUCUUAUAUAUAUAUUAUAUAUUUAUAUACAUUAAAAUAGUGUAUAUUGUGUAAUUUGUUUUUCUUUUUAAGUUCAGAUAACUGAGAUAAGGGGCAGGAUGAAAUGUAACCAACAGAGUGGAGCACAGAAACGUAAACUGGAGGAAG